rnacentral:ncRNA from 1 species
ACCAAGGAGUCUAACAUGUGCGCGAGCCGCGGGGCAGUACGAAACCCGUAAGGCGAAAUGAAGGUGAACGCCGGCGCGGUCCGGCGGAGGUUGGAUCCCGUCCCGUCGGGGCGGGCGCACUACCGGCCGAUCUUCUCCGCCCUGUCGGCGAGGUCGAGCGAGAGCGUGCAAGUCGGGACCCGAAACAUGGUGAACUAUGCCUGAGGAGGUUGAAGCCAGAGGAAACUCUGGUGGAGGACCGUAGCGAUUCUGACGUGCAAAUCGAUCGUCAAAUUUGGGUAUAGGGGCGAAAGACUAAUCGAACCGUCUAGUAGCUGGUUCCCUUCGAAGUUUCCCUCAGGAUAGCUGGCGCUCUGUCGCAGUUUUAUCUGGUAAAGCGAAUGAUUAGAGGUCUUGGGGGCGAAACGCCCUCAACCUAUUCUCAAACUUUAAAUUGGUAAGAAGCCCGACUCGCUCGUUUGGAGCCGGGCAUGGAAUGCGAGUGCCAAGUGGGCCACUCUUGGUAAGCAGGACUGGCGAUGCGGGAUGAACCGAACGCCGGGUUAAGGCGCCCGACGCGACGCUCAUCAGAGCCCACAAAAGGUGUUGGUUGAUAUAGACAGCAGGACGGUGGCCAUGGAAGUCGGAAACCGCUAAGGAGUGUGUAACAACUCACCUGCCGAAUCAAUCAGCCCUGAAAAUGGAUGGCGCUGGAGCGUCGGGCCUAUACCCGGCCGUCGCGGCGGUACGAGCAUCGAGUUGGUGCGCUAGGCCGCGACGAGUAGGAGGGCCGCGGCGGCG